UCCCUGGUAGUAUAUCGGUUAGUACACGCGCCUGUCAUUGUUGAUGAUUAAGUACAGCAAUGGUGGACGCGCGAAAGCUGGGUUCGACUCCCAGCCAGGGGG